CUGUCGCUGUCACACAGAGCAGAGCUCAGCGCUGCCCCUCCGCUCCCUGUGAGGAGCUGCGGCCGCCAUCAGGCCUCCCCUCAGCUCCUCUGCUUUGCGCUGAGCCAACACAGGGACCUCAGCCAUUCUUCAUACAUCUUGCCCUCCAGACCCUUCCCCAUUUUUGAAGCUCUCCUUUGGAUGGGACAAAAGCAGCCCAGGUCACACUGGUGAGAUUCCUCUCCCCUCUCGUCGAGUCCUUCUUUGUUUAUAUUAUUCAGAAAAUAAUUUUGAUGUAAAAUAUAGAACAAGAUAUCUGUAAAUCGCUUCUGAGGAAGACUACGGUCCCAGAGCUCAUAGGAUCUCCUGACUACAUACUGUUUCAGAACAAUUUCAUUCAGUGUAUGUCUGCACUUCCACUGCAUUUCCCUGAAAUGGAUCAAGCAAAGUUGGAAAGGAGCAAAUCCCUGUGUAAACAUCGAUAUCGUCAAUUAAUUAGGAAACACAGCAAGAUAAAUAAUGAAGCCCCAAGAAAGGUAAAUUAAUUUCUGUUUUCUUUCUGAUAGGUUCAAAAGUUUCCCCAGUUUCAAACUAUUUCUGCAAUUCACUUUUAUUCUAUUGUAGCACCUUAUCACAGGGAGGAAUCUCGGACCAUAAUGCAAGUUGUUGUGGAGGGAGAUUUUGUAAAAAUGCAUUCUUUUAAAAAUGUAUUUCAACUACUUAAAUACAUUUCUUGCUUGAAAUUUCACUUAGCUUAUUUAUUUUUAUUUUAUUUUAUUUUAUUUUUUAGAUAAAAUUCCACAUAAACAAUCCCAGAGUUCUGUGUUCUUUUAAGGAAAAUUGAUAAACGAUCAAAAAUAUUAAACAAUACCUCCCCCCCC